rnacentral:rRNA from 1 species
GACAGAGGGUGCAACCGUUGUUCGGAAUUACUGGGCGUAAAGGGCGCGUAGGCGGCCCAGCAAGUCGGGAGUGAAAGCCCGGGGCUCAACCCCGGAAUGGCUUUCGAAACUGCUGAGCUAGAGUACAGAAGGGGCAACCGGAAUUCCCAGUGUAGCGGUGAAAUGCGUAGAUAUUGGGAAGAACACCUGAGGCGAAGGCGGGUUGCUGGGCUGAUACUGACGCUGAGGCGCGAAAGCCAGGGGAGCAAACGGG